CACUCUAGAGAGACUGCCAGGGAUAACCUGGAGGAAGGUGGGGAUGACGUCAAAUCAUCAUGCCCCUUAUGCUUAGGGCUACACACGUGCUACAAUGGGUAGUACAGAGGGUUGCCAAGCCGUAAGGUGGAGCUAAUCCCUUAAAGCUACUCUCAGUUCGGAUUGUAGGCUGAAACUCGCCUACAUGAAGCUGGAGUUACUAGUAAUCGCAGAUCAGAAUGCUGCGGUGAAUGCGUUCCCGGGUCUUGUACCCACCGCCCGUCACACCACGGGAGUUGGAGACGCCCGAAGCCGAUUAUCUAACCUUUUGGAAGAAGUCGUCGAAGGUGGAAUCAAUAACUGGGGUGAAGUCGUAACAAGGUAGCCGUAUCGGAAGGUGCGGCUGGAUCACCUCCUUUCUAAGGAGA
rnacentral:rRNA from 1 species